rnacentral:sRNA from 1 species
UGAUGGGGCAGGCCCUGGGGCCAGUGGCCGGCUACAGUCCCAGGAGGUCACAGUGGCCUGUGGCUUGUCCCUGCCAGCCAGCGC